UACGUAGGGGGCGAGCGUUGUCCGGAAUCAUUGGGCGUAAAGCGCGUGUAGGCGGCCCGGUAAGUCCGCUGUGAAAGUCCAGGGCUCAACCCUGGGAUGCCGGUGGAUACUGUCGGGCUCGAGUCCGGAAGAGGCGAGUGGAAUUCCUGGUGUAGCGGUGGAAUGCGCAGAUAUCAGGAAGAACACCAACGGCGAAGGCAGCUCGCUGGGACGGUACUGACGCUGAGACGCGAAAGCGUGGGGAGCGAACAGG
rnacentral:rRNA from 1 species